CUACACUUUCGAUCUGAACUUGAAGACUAUGAUGUCAAUAGACCUGACCGCUUAUUGAAAUCUGCUAUACCAAAGAUUUGUGGGUGUUGCGAAACAUUGGAAUGUCUUAAUAUUCCUUCAAGCUCACAAGAAACUCCUUGCGCUAAAGCGUCAGCAAUGCCGAUACUUGAAAAAUAUCUCGAUGAAAAUGAACCA